GUGGUCCUGCUCUCUGUAUGUAUAUAGUAGGUUAAGAAGUUGGAGGCCUUUCACUCUGAUACUGCUCUCUGUAUGUAUAUAGUAGGUUAAGAAGUUGGAGACCUUUCACUCUGAUACUGCUCUCUGUAUGUAUAUAGUAGGUUAAGAAGUUGGAGGCCUUUCACUCUGAUACUGCUCUCUGUAUGUAUAUAUAGUAGGUUAAGAAGUUGGAGACCUUUCACUCUGUGGUCCUGCUCUCUGUAUGUAUAUAGUAGGUUAAGAAGUUGGAGACCUUUCACUCUGUGGUCCUGCUCUCUGUAUGUAAAUAGUAGGUUAAGAAGUUGGAGACCUUUCACUCUGUGGUCCUGCUCUCUGUAUGUAUAUAGUAGGUUAAGAAGUUGGAGGCCUUUCACUCUGUGGUACUGCUCUCUGUAUGUAUAUAGUAGGUUAAGAAGUUGGAGACCUUUCACUCUGUGGUACUGCUCUCUGUAUGUAUAUAGUAGGUUAAGAAGUUGGAGGCCUUUCACUCUGAUACUGCUCUCUGUAUGUAGUAGGUUAAGAAGUUGGAGACCUUUCACUCUGGUACUGCUCUCUGUAUAUAUAUAUAGUAGGUUAAGAAGUUGGAGACCUUUCACUCUGAUACUGCUCUCUGUAUGUAUAUAGUAGGUUAAGAAGUUGGAGACCUUUCACUCUGAUACUGCUCUCUGUAUGUAUAUAGUAGGUUAAGAAGUUGGAGACCUUUCACUCUGUGGUACUGCUCUCUGUAUGUAUAUAGUAGGUUAAGAAGUUGGAGACCUUUCACUCUGUGGUCCUGAUCUCUGUAUGUAUAUAGUAGGUUAAGAAGUUGGAGACCUUUCACUCUGUGGUCCACUGCUCUCUGUAUGUAUAUAGUAGGUUAAGAAGUUGGAGACCUUUCACUCUGAUACUGCUCUCUGUAUGUAGUAGGUUAAGAAGUUGGAGACCUUUCACUCUGUGGUACUGCUCUCUGUAUGUAGUAGGUUAAGAAGUUGGAGGCCUUUCACUCUGUGGUCCUGAUCUCUGUAUGUAUAUAGUAGGUUAAGAAGUUGGAGGCCUUUCACUCUGAUACUGCUCUCUGUAUGUAUAUAGUAGGUUAAGAAGUUGGAGACCUUUCACUCUGUGGUCCUGCUCUCUGUAUGUAUAUAGUAGGUUAAGAAGUUGGAGACCUUUCACUCUGUGGUACUGCUCUCUGUAUGUAUAUAGUAGGUUAAGAAGUUGGAGACCUUUCACUCUGUGGUACUGCUCUCUGUAUGUAGUAGGUUAAGAAGUUGGAGACCUUUCACUCUGUGGUCCUGAUCUCUGUAUGUAUAUAGUAGGUUAAGAAGUUGGAGACCUUUCACUCUGAUACUGCUCUCUGUAUGUAUAUAGUAGGUUAAGAAGUUGGAGACCUUUCACUCUGUGGUACUGCUCUCUGUAUG